rnacentral:rRNA from 1 species
GAUGAACGCUGGCGGCGUGCCUAAUACAUGCAAGUCGAGCGAACGGACGAGAAGCUUGCUUCUCUGAUGUUAGCGGCGGACGGGUGAGUAACACGUGGAUAACCUACCUAUAAGACUGGGAUAACUUCGGGAAACCGGAGCUAAUACCGGAUAAUAUUUUGAACCGCAUGGUUCAAAAGUGAAAGACGGUCUUGCUGUCACUUAUAGAUGGAUCCGCGCUGCAUUAGCUAGUUGGUAAGGUAACGGCUUACCAAGGCAACGAUGCAUAGCCGACCUGAGAGGGUGAUCGGCCACACUGGAACUGAGACACGGUCCAGACUCCUACGGGAGGCAGCAGUAGGGAAUCUUCCGCAAUGGGCGAAAGCCUGACGGAGCAACGCCGCGUGAGUGAUGAAGGUCUUCGGAUCGUAAAACUCUGUUAUUAGGGAAGAACAUAUGUGUAAGUAACUGUGCACAUCUUGACGGUACCUAAUCAGAAAGCCACGGCUAACUACGUGCCAGCAGCCGCGGUAAUACGUAGGUGGCAAGCGUUAUCCGGAAUUAUUGGGCGUAAAGCGCGCGUAGGCGGUUUUUUAAGUCUGAUGUGAAAGCCCACGGCUCAACCGUGGAGGGUCAUUAGAAACUGGAAAACUUGAGUGCAGAAGAGGAAAGUGGAAUUCCAUGUGUAGCGGUGAAAUGCGCAGAGAUAUGGAGGAACACCAGUGGCGAAGGCGACUUUCUGGUCUGUAACUGACGCUGAUGUGCGAAAGCGUGGGGAUCAAACAGG